GAUGAACGCUAGCGGCAGGCCUAAUACAUGCAAGUCGAACGGUGUCUUCGGACAUAGUGGCGCACGGGUGCGUAACACGUAUGCAACCUACCUUACGUUGGGGGAUAGCCUUUCGAAAGGGAGAUUAAUACCGCAUAAGACAGUAGCUGGGCAUCCAGCAGCUGUUAAAGAUUUAUCGAUGUAAGCUGGGCAUGCGUCCAAUUAGCUAGUUGGUGAGGUAACGGCUAACCAAGGCAAUGAUUGGUAGGGGAACUGAGAGGUCAAUCCCCCACACUGGCACUGAGAUACGGGCCAGACUCCUACGGGAGGCAGCAGUAGGGAAUAUUGGGCAAUGGACGCAAGUCUGACCCAGCCAUGCCGCGUGCAGGAUGAAGGCGUUAUGCGUUGUAAACUGCUUUUAUACAGGAAGAAACGACUCUUGCGAGAGGCAUUGACGGUACUGUAUGAAUAAGCACCGGCUAACUCCGUGCCAGCAGCCGCAGUAAAAC
rnacentral:rRNA from 1 species